GCAUAUCAAUAAGCGGAGGAAAAGAAACCAACAGGGAUUGCCUCAGUAGCGGCGAGUGAAGCGGCAAGAGCUCAGAUUUGAAAUCUCACCUAGUGUGCGAGUUGUAAAUUGCAGGUUGGAGUCUCGGGUUAGACGUGUGUGCAAGUCCCUUGGAACAGGGUGCCACUGAGGGUGAGAGCCCCGUAGCGUGCAUGUCGACACCUGUGAGGCCCUUCUGACGAGUCGAGUUGUUUGGGAAUGCAGCUCUAAGUGGGUGGUAAAUUCCAUCUAAGGCUAAAUAUUGGCGAGAGACCGAUAGCGAACAAGUACUGUGAAGGAAAGAUGAAAAGCACUUUGAAAAGAGAGUGAAACAGCACGUGAAAUUGUUGAAAGGGAAGGGUAUUGGGCUCGACAUGGGAUUUACGCAUCGUUGCCUCUCGUGGGCGGCGCUCUGGGUUUUUCCUGGGCCAGCAUCGGUUUUCGUUGCAGGACAAGGACAAUUGGAAUGUGGCUCCUCGGAGUGUUAUAGCCUUUUGUAGAUGCUGCGUAUGGGGACCGAGGGCUGCGGCGGACUCG
rnacentral:rRNA from 1 species